rnacentral:rRNA from 1 species
UCCCGUCUUGGGCGGGCGGUCCGCGCCCGUGUGAAGCUCCUUCGACGAGUCGAGUUGUUUGGGAAUGCAGCUCUAAGCGGGUGGUAAAUUUCAUCUAAAGCUAAAUAUUGGCCGGAGACCGAUAGCGCACAAGUAGAGUGAUCGAAAGGUUAAAAGCACCUUGAAAAGGGAGUUAAACAGCACGUGAAAUUGUUGAAAGGGAAGCGCUUGCGGCCAGACUCGGGGGCGGGGUUCAGCGGGUGCUCGUCGCCCGUGUAUUCCUCGUCUCCCGGGCCAGCAUCAGUUUCGACGGCCGGUCAAAGGCCCCCGGAAUGUGUCGUCUCUCGGGACGUCUUAUAGCCGGGGGUGCAAUGCGGCCCGUCGGGACUGAGGAACGCGCUCCGGCUCGGAUGCUGGCGUAAUGGCCGUAAGCGGCCCGUCUUGAAACACGGACCAAGGAGUCUAACAUCCACGCGAGUGUUCGGGUGUCAAACCCGUGCGCGCAGUGAAAGCGAACGGAGGUGGGAGCCUUAGGGCGCACCAUCGACCGAUCCUGAAGUCUUCGGAUGGAUUUGAGUAGGAGCGUGGCCGUUGGGACCCGAAAGAUGGUGAACUAUGCCUGAAUAGGGUGAAGCCAGAGGAAACUCUGGUGGAGGCUCGCAGCGGUUCUGACGUGCAAAUCGAUCGUCAAAUUUGGGCAUAGGGGCGAAAGACUAAUCGAACCAUCUAGUAGCUGGUCUGCG